AUUGAACGCUGGCGGCAGGCCUAACACAUGCAAGUCGAGCGGGGGUAGCAAUACCCUAGCGGCGAACGGGUGAGGAAUGCUUGGGAAUCUGCCUCGUAGUGGGGGGAUAACGUUCCGAAAGGUACGCUAAUACCGCAUACGUCCUACGGGAGAAAGGGGGGAUCUUCGGACCUCUCGCUAUGAGAUGAGCCCAAGCGGGAUUAGCUAGUUGGUGAGGUAAAGGCUCACCAAGGCUACGAUCCCUAGCUGGUCUGGGAGGAUGACCAGCCACACUGGGACUGAGACACGGCCCAGACUCCUACGGGAGGCAGCAGUGGGGAAUAUUGCGCAAUGGGCGAAAGCCUGACGCAGCGACGCCGCGUGGGUGAUGAAGGCCUU
rnacentral:rRNA from 1 species